rnacentral:lncRNA from 1 species
UCCGAGCCUGGUUCGGUGCCCGCCGCCCGCUGCGCGGGUGGCUCGCGGAGCUCUCUGCUAAAAAGCAGCGUGGGGGCGAGUCGCGCCUUCUAAGUAGCUCGGCACACAAGUGCGCGUGCCAGCCCCAUAAGCCAGGGAAAAGGCAGACACAACUAACAGACAACUGGAUCUGGUUUUCUGCACUUUUCGUUGCACCGACGGGGCGCUUGCUGUGGACACUGAUGCUGCUACCUGAACCCAAUACUAUAUAGUGACCAGCUAUCAAAUGAAGCUAUGAAACCUUCAAAACUAUUUCACCACAUGAAGACCAAGUACCUUGCAUUAAAAGAUGUGUCUUUGGAAUUUUUCAAAAGAAGAAAAUGUGAACACAGACAUCAGAAGCAAUUGUUAAAUGCCACCAUCUCAUCAAAUGUGUCUACACUGAGAGCAUCGUUCAUGCCCAAAGCAGAAAAUAAGCACUAA